rnacentral:lncRNA from 1 species
AUUGGCUUGAAGUGUAGAAGAUGCGAGAGUGAGAUUUAGAUCGCAGGAUGAAUCGGCCUCAUCUGUUGUUGCUGCUGCUGCUAAACAGGAAACUGGACCUACAUGCGAUUCAGCCGUGUCGAUGGUCAAUGAAUCUGCUGAUGGAGAGGAAACUGAGUAAGAGAAGGAAUUUAGAGAAUAAGAGUUUGUAUUAGAGAUUGUUGUUUGUUUUGUGGUUAGUGAUAGAU